AGGGGAUUGGUGUAAUCGGUAGCACACGAGUCUUUGAAGCUCAGAGUUCUGGUUCAAAUCCAGGAUCCCCUA
rnacentral:tRNA from 1 species